CAAUCACAACCCAAAUCCAGUUCCUGUUCUGUUUACAGUAAGACCUGAUCCAAAGGGGGUUCAGAGUCAGACUUGUUCAUGACAGCA